GCUGGUGGGCACUUAUCGACACUACAAGCAUAUAUGUAUUUCAUGCCAGUCCUAUCCUGAGAGUUCUAGUUUGGAGAAAGUGCUGAUAAUUCUCAGAGUUAUUAAUCUGUUUUAGUUUUCCAUUGAUCCCUAAGAGAUAAUAAUUUAUCAGAAUAAUUGUUUUAGAAUCCUCCCCACUUUCCUAUCUAUCUAACUAUGCUCGGGGCAGCUUUUCAACCAAUUAAGGUGAUAAGAGCAACAAUGGGGCAUGAGAGAAUAUAUGGCAGAGCACAGGAGAAUGUUGCCAAAGCAUGCUGUGGACUAUUCAUCACUGGAAAUCUUGAAGAGUGAGAAGAAGUGUUUCACUCUGAGGGCCGGAAUGCACUUUUGCACAAACAAACCACCAUACAGAGAAGCUGGAGAAGAUUAGCUAUAACUUUCCAUGAGAAAGAACAACUCCCAAGUGUGGUAGAACACCUUUCAAGGCAUAUUGUUUUGAAAACUGAUGAGCAAAGACUCACAUGAAAUUGAGAUAUAUUAAAUAAAACUUUUGUUUAAAGUCA